CGGCGCCCGCCCCUGCUCCGCGCCCGGCUCGGCGCCGCUCCGCUCCGCCCCCGGCUCGGCGAGGAGCGCGGGCAGCCCCGCGGCCCCGCUGCAGUCCCGCUCCGGCAUGCCCCUCGCCGGAGCAGCGCCGGGACCCCGCCGCCUCCAGCCGCGCUCCGCCGGGCUCCGCCGCUCGCCGGCAUGAAGCGCCCGGCGCCGGGCGGCCGCCGCUGAGGAGCCGGCAGCAGCGGGACCCCCGGCCGCGCCCCCCGCCCCCGCCCCGCUCCAUGGGGCAGCGCCGCGGCCGCUGAGCCCCCGGCCCGCCCGCCGCGCCCCCCGCGCCGCGCCCCCGCCUCGCCCCUCGCCAUGGGGCCGCGGCACCUGCUGCUGCCGCUGCUCCUGCUCUCCCUGCAGCUCCUGGCCCUGCUGCCGCUGCUGCCCGCGCAGGCGGCCGGGCCCCCCCGCGCCAAGGGCAACCGGACCCAGGGGGCGGCGGCGCCGCGGCGGACCCCCAAGCCGGGCAGGGAGCUCCUGAACCAGACGCUGGCGGGCCCGGGGGCCGCCGCCCCCACGGCGCUGCCCGGGCGCGGCAAGGGCGCGGGGGGCGGCAAGGCGGCCCCCGGAGGCGGGGGCGGCGGCGGGGGCUCGGCCCCGGCCCACGAGACGUGCUGGGGGUACUACGACGUGAGCGGGCAGUGGGACAAGGAGUUCGAGUGCAACAACAGCCUGACGGGCUUCCGCUACUGCUGCGGCACCUGCUUCUACCGCUUCUGCUGCAACAAGCGCGCCGAGAAGCUCAACCAGAGCCUGUGCCGCAACUACAAGAGCCCCGAGUGGGCCCACCCCACCACGGCCAGCGGCGCCCUGCCCGCCGACGGCGGCGACGGCGGCGACGGGGACGCCAACAAGUACGACCCGGACAAGGACAGCACCAACGCCACCGUGUACAUCUCGUGCGGGGCCAUCGCCUUCGUGCUCAUCGCCGGCGUCUUCGCCAAGGUGGCCUACGACAAGGCGCGGCGCCCGCCCCGGGAGAUGAACAUUCACAGGGCUCUGGCCGACAUCCUAAGGCAGCAGGGACCAAUCCCAAUCGGACACUGUGAAAGAGAGACAAUCUCGGCCAUAGAUACCUCCCCCAAAGAAAACACCCCAGUCAGGACCUCCUCCAAAAACCACUACACCCCGGUGCGCACCGCCAAGAGCAACCCAGGUCACUAUGGGAAGGACAUUUAUCGCAGCGGCGGGCCGGAUCUCCACAACUUCAUCUCCUCCGGCUUUGUCACGUUAGGAAGAGGACACACGAAGGAUGACCAAGAACAAAAUUAUAAUCACCUGAUACUAAACAGUGACAACCAGACACCUACACAUGACAAGCCACGAAUGAACAACAUCCUGACUUCAGCCACCGAGCCCUACGACCUGUCCUUCUCCCGCUCCUUCCAGAACCUCUCCCACCUCCCGCCGUCCUACGAGUCUGCUGUCAAGACCAACCCGAGUAAAUACUCAUCUCUGAAGAGACUCACUGACAAAGAGGCUGACGAGUACUACAUGAGGAGGAGGCACCUGCCCGACCUGGCAGCCCGCGGCACGCUGCCCAUCAACGUCAUCAAGAUGUCCCAGCAGGGCAACCACCGGGACAGGCCCCGCCGUCCCAUCAGGGCCAUGUCCCAGGACAGAGUGCUGUCCCCUGAGAGGAUCAUGCCCGAGGAGUUCAGCAUGUCCUACGAGCGGAUUCUCUCGGACGAGCAGCUGCUGUCGGCGGAGCGCCUGCACUCCCAGGACCCGCUGCUGUCCCCGGAGCGCUCGGGCUACCCCGAGCAGUCCAUGUCGAGGGCAUUGUCACACACGGAUGUCUUUGUGUCAACACCGGUCUUGGAUCGCUACAGGAUGUCAAAAAUGCACUCCCAUCCCAGUGCCUCAAAUAACUUGUACAAUACCUUGAGUAUGAACCCGACCUCGGCCAAGCGCCAAGCGUUCGCCUCGCGCCGGCACAACACGGUGGAGCAGCUGCAUUACAUCCCCGGGCACCACCACCACUACCGCACCGCCAGCAAAACAGAGGUGACUGUUUGACACGACCCAGUGCAUUGUAGAUACUCCUUAAGGACUGGGGUGGCCGCAGCACCCCGUUCUGCAGUGGCCUUAUAGGCCAAGAUAACCUCGACUAACUCAGUGUCUGCAAAGACUUCUCUGACAGUCCCACCCACGUUGUUUUUAAAGCCACCCCUUCAUCAGUGACACAGGAAGGACUGAAGCAGCAGUCAGACACUAGUGAGGGAUAACAGAGAUUUCCUGAUGUGCAUCAGUUUCUGUCAAAGAAAGCCAUAGUAAUCGAUGGCUCCUUCCAAGGGCUCACCUGCAUUACCCCAUAGUUUCCAUGAAUUCAGGACUUUUCAGUUGCUCCAAGGAGAAGCAGCCUGAGGCAGGGAGGAGGAAAUGCAGCCCCCCCAUCCUGGCAGGAAGGGGCCUCGUUCUUGGUCCUCAUGUCUGGCCUUUCUGUAGCAAGUAGGGAAGUCCUGGCUGCUGGGGCCACCUCCAGGCUGCUCGACACCCGUCAGCACCCACACAUCUGUUCUUUGUCACCCUUGGAGCAAAUUCAAGGGCAGACAUUCCUUCGGGACUGGCAGAUCUAGGGACAAGAAUAGCCUGGCUGAGAAAUAAAGUUUUAGUUUAUACUAAAUAUACUCAUAAGAUAAAAACAUACUAGUGCCUACAAAUCGCCUGCUCUCUCAGUGUAGGAAGUAGUGGGGUUGAUGUGUUCAAUAAGCACAAAUAUGCUGAAAUGCUUGUUAGACCCUUUUCUCCACUCAUUCUAGUAUCUUGGUGUCUCCAACAUGUAAAUAGGAAGGAGGAAGAGGGUUUCUCUUCCUCCAGCUUCUCGCCACUGCUGAACCUCAAGCAGCAGAACCCGUUCAGCUCCACAGUGCUGACCUGUGCUGGGGGAGGUCCCGACCCCGCCGAGCCCCCCGCGAGGCCAGGCUGCCACGCCUGUCACCGAGCCUGGAUUCUCCCCAGAAGUUUCUUUUCCCGAUAGCAUUUCCCAUGGCCCAGUUCUCCUGUUUCUGAACGUUUUCUCCUCCCAUUUACAGCCUAGAAUCCAUAUGUAGCAGAUCUUUUUCCAGCCCUUAGCAGAGGCACAAGGCUGAGGGUGUCUGUUUACCGAAAAGCAGGUCGGUAACUUUCCGUGGUUUUCUCUCCCUGCAAUGGCCUCCCAAGAAAACCUUCCAAAUUCCAAUUCCACUGAGUCCCAAUCCUAACCAUGAUGACAGUUACAUUUCAUGCAUAUAAAUUAUAUAUCCAGCAUAAUUAUAAUUAAUGGGCAUGUUGUAUAUCUGAUAUAACGCUAAUUAGAUACUGUAUAUUUGUAAAAUCUUUAAAACAUAGACUCGUGGGUCCAGAAUUUGUGAGGGUUUUACCUUUGGCUUUCCAGACAGAUUGGGCUUUGCUUUUGUUUUUUUGUUAGGUUUGGGUUUGAUUUUUCUUUUCAUUUUUCCCCCCCCCUUUGAUUUGUGUUCCUACCAGACUCUGUAGAACUGAUUCCCACCGGAACACACUUCUGCGGCCAGGAAAGGGUCUCAGAGGGUUUGAAGGCCAGCCAGAGCUGGUGCUGGAGCUGUGGGUGCUGGACACUGUCCCCAGGGUGCCCUCGAGGCCCCAGCCUGUGCACACACCCCGUGGUGUGUGGCAGGCACGCUCCCUCCUCGGGGUGAGGUGAUGGCUGACUUCAGGCUGUGAGCACAUCCCUUGCACUCCUCUUCGUGUCCCACGUCCCCACGCCGACUCUUUUCCUACAUGGCUCUUCAUUAGGCAUCCCUGAACUGUGCUGUGCUCUCCUCCCUCCCCUGAAAUACCUCCCACCUCCUGGCCUUAAUGACAUUCCCAGCCCAACUGUGCCAAGUCCUGUAGCAAACAGCGAUGGUGGGGCGUGAGUCUCCUGUGGAGGCUUUGGUGCAGCACCAGGUUUGUCUGGUGCAGGGCAGGCAGGAGGAGCAUGUCCUCACCCCAGUGGGACACACAGGUGGGCCUCAGUGGGGUGUCCAGGUGGCCUUUCUCUUUCCCAGGCUGUCCUGGAGCUGGUCCUUUUUCCAGAGCUUUAUCCUGCCCCAUCUGAUGGAGACUGUGCUGAGAAGGACUCCACCAGUGAGAGGUUACUGAGGCUUUGUUUGACGGAAACUGAGCUGGGAGGGAAUAAAUAAAGAAAGAAAGAACAGUCUCCAGGGUCAGAUCCUGCAGCCUUGGGGAAAAUCACUCUGGGCAACAACCAGAACUGUCUGUGGAUCAGGGUGGCAGUCCAUGGCACGGGAGGGAUGGGAGACAACAGGCUCACAGCUCGUCUCCUGCCCCCUCCCUUGAUGGACACUACUCUCCCCUGACUACCUCCAAGCUCCUCGGCUCAGUCCCUGGAUUUUUCGUCCCAGAAGACAAUCCCUGAGAAAACAUUGCCCUGCUGACCUUCCCACAGGCCAGAGGGUGGGACUCGUGUGAAGAGAAGAGAAACUCUCACGGCUGAUGGGGAGGCGGCCCCUGCUGAGGUUCUGGGGCUCUUCACUCUCCCUUGGCCCAAGAAAAGCCAGGGAGAUCUGAACACUGUGGGAGAGCAGAGUCCACUGUAGAGUCUCCAGGAGCUGUGGUGGCAGAGUUGGAGAAGAGGUGACAGUGGGAGGCUGUGGGUAGGUGAACACUCCUCUCUUUCCAUGUCCAUAGCUGUGUGCCUCAAGCUCCAGUCCUCAUCUAAAUGUUCCAUUUGUGAGCUAAGAAGUUGCUGGACCAGAUGCAAAUUUGGAAGUUUUUCAUUCAAGCAGCCCGUGCCAAUGCUGAGCUGGGCCAUUUGACCUCUCUGUCUUCUCUUGUUCUGGCUAACAAAUGUCACAGGCCCUCAGCUUUUUUUGUGUCUUACCUGGGCAAGAAUCCUCCAGAGAAAUCUCAGCCUCAUUUCCUUGUUUUUUUUCCACCCACUCAACUGUUUCAAGCAGAUGUGUCCCACAAGGAGCCUUUUUAGGCCAAAUCUCUUCAGGGACUCUGCCACCACCACAGAAAAUUUUCAGCAAAUUUCCUUGGGAAGGAACCGUGCCCUGGAUACCACCAUGUGUUCCCACAGCCCGCUCUGUGUGCUGGAAUGGGUUGGUGGAUGGGGCAGUGGCAUUUCAGCACACACGGGUGUCCUUAGGUCAUUUCUCUCCCUUAUUCCUCCUUCUGAGAAUUUGUCACUGAAAGAACACUUGGUCUGGGACCGAGUGUCAUGACCACAGCCUGGUCCCCAGCACUUCAGUUCCCUGUGGUCCUCAUGGGAUGAUAAUGGAAAUUUCCAGUUCUAUGGAGGGAUCAGACCACAAGGUCUGUGAAGUGCUCUGAGACCCUCUCCCAACAGAACUGUAGGGCAGCAGAGUGUUUUGGUUAAUCUUGUCUGUCAUUGUCCUGACACGUGGUGUGUGAUGUGCCACAGUCCACUCUGCCCAGGAGGAGAGGGCUGGGGUGGCGUUGCCCACAUUCCCACUGCUCUCCUCCUGGGCAGGGUCCUGGAAGCUGCAGCUCCAAGGGAUGCUGCUCCCUGCACUGGGACCUCCCUGCUUCCUUCUCCUCGUGUCUGAGUCACCAUAACAUCCUGCUCUCAGGAGAAAAGCGGGAAGCAGCCACAUUCCUCUGUACAGUAAAAUACAACCUGCCUUGAUUAAUCUCAUAUACUCUGAAAAAUUGAUCUGUGUUUUCUCCCCCCACAGGUGCAAACAAACACCUGGGGAGUGUCCAGUUCCCAGAGUGCAUGUGCAGGGACUGGGGGAGGGGGAUGUAGAAAAGUUUAUAGUAUUUCCUACAAGCUGAUAAUUAUUUGCAUUCCCUGAGCAGCAACAUAUCCUGGAUAGCUGCACUGGGUUUUAUACAAUUCUCUGUGUAUGUGUAUAUAGAUACAAAUAUAUAUAUAUACAUAUAUACAUACAUACUGUAAAAUGCAAUCAACACAUUCUGACUGACCCUGCACCAACUGAAGCUUCCAAAGUGUGUUGAAUCAUUCUUUGAAAUGGGGAAAACUAUUUUUAAUGAACCACACACACAGCACCACAUGGAACAGAAACUUUGUCAUAAAAAGCCUUCUAAUGCCAGUGAACCGUGUUUUAAGGAAAAAAAAAAAAAGAAAUAUUUUUCAAUGUUUUAAUGUUCCUUUUAUAAACGAUGAUCUGUUACUUGGGGAUGGGGGUGGGUGGGAAGAAACAGAGACAGUUGUCCAGGAUAAGCCCUCUUUCCCUGGCCUGGAUUUAAUUUCUGUCUGCUGAGCCUGGCUGGCUGCAAAGCUGCUCCCAGGAACCUGAGCUUCCCGCAUGCACAUUUCUGUUCUGCCAGCAGCAUUCCCACCAGGAAUCUGCAGGAGCUUGGCAUCAGGUUUAUGUAGUUCCUGGUAGCUGGGAAGACAUCCUCAUCUUCUUCCACCACCACAAACAAAAUCCCCAUGGAACAGGGUAACUUUAGUUGUGUUUGAGACGUGUGUUCUAUUUGUGCUCAAUUUGCCAUCUUCAGCUCACAGAGAAAUAGCUUGUCUUGGUUUAGUUUCAGAUUUACUGCUCAACCUGGAAGGAGGGGCUCUGCUGAAAUACCUUUGGCACGAGCAGAUUUCAUGUUCAGGUGUGUUUCAGCCGAGUGAAAGAUGGGAAAUGUGUGAGAAAGAGGCUCAAAUAUUUUCUAGCGAGUGUCGUUAGCAAUAAGCCCGUGUUGGGGCUGCUCCCUGGGGAACAGCCACCUCUGUGCUGUGUGUCCACAGGCAGGUGGGAGAAGGGGUCAUUCCCAGCUCUCCGUGGUGAGAGGGGCCCUCCCCGAGGCCAAAUCCCAGCUGGGAAAAGCCAAAAGCUUCACCCAAGGGCCAGGGGAGAGUUGGAUGGGGCUGUCUGAGUGUGUCGGUGUUAAUCUGAAAGAGAUCUCUGCUCCCAGCACCCCGGGUCUGCACCGUGGCCACACCAUGUCCAGGAGGUCUCCAUCCCAGGAGGUCUCCAUCCUUGGAGAUCUCCAUCCUGGAAGGUCUCUCUCCAUCCUGGGAGGUGUCUCUCCAUCCCAGGAGUCUCCAUGCCAGGAGGUCUCUCCAUGCCAGGAGGUCUCCAUCCAAAGAGGUCUCCCUCCCUGGAGGUCUCUCCCCAUCCCUGAAGGUCUCCAUCCCAUCCCGGGACGUCUCCAUCCCACCCCAGGAGGUCUCUCCCCAUCCCAGAAGAUCUCUCCCCAUCCCAAGAGGUCUCUCCCUAUCCCGGGAGAUCUCUCCCCACCCCAGGAGGUCUCUCCCCAUCCCUGGAGGUUUCUCCUCAUCCCGAGAGGUCUCUCCCCAUCCCCGGAGGUCUCUCCCCAUCCCUGGAGAUCUCUCCCCAUCCAUGGAGGUCUCUCCCCAUCCAUGGAGGUCUCUCCCCAUUCCUGAAGGUCUCUCCCCACCUCUGGAGGUCUCUCCCC